UACAGAGGGUGCAAACGUUGCUCGGAUUCACUGGGCGUAAAGGGCACGUAGGCGGGGGUGUAACUCAGUCGUGGAAUACCGCGGCUUACCCGUGGAAUUGCGACUGAAAGUACACUUCUUGAGCGCAGGAGGGGUAGGAGGAACUCUAGGUGGAGCGGUGAAAUGCGUAGAUAUCUAGAGGAACGCCGGAGGCGAAAGCGUCCUACUGGCCUGCUGCUGACGCUGAGGUGCGAAAGCCAGGGGAGCAAACGGG
rnacentral:rRNA from 1 species